rnacentral:lncRNA from 1 species
GGCGGUGGAAAUAUAUUGGACAUAUACUGCGAAUGGAUAACAACCGGCAUGUGAAAAAGGUAUUGACAUGGACACCACAAGAGACAAGAAAGCCUGGAAGACCUAAAGGCACAUGGAGAAGAGAUAUAGCAGCAGAGAUAAAAAGACAUGGUUACACCUGGAAUCAAAUAGAAAGAAUCGCGAAAGAUAGAACGAGUUGGAGGUCCCUUGUUGAUGCCUUAUGUGUUCAAGAACAUGAAGAGGAUUAAGUAAGUAAGUACAUAC